rnacentral:lncRNA from 1 species
GAGAGGAUCGAUGUUGAGCAGAAGUGGGGUUAAAGCAGCCAACAACACAUCCCCCUUUACUUAGUAGGGCUUGAAAGGCUGGACAGUUUGUUUUCCUUUCCUGUCCAGUAUUUUCAAUCCAAGCCGAAAUAGGAAAAGCCGCAAGCACCACUAGGCCCGGUCGUCGGUUGAACGUCAGUAGGGUCCGAUUUUCAUUCCUUACUCAAAUAGGAAGGUGGCAGUCUCAAUCUAGCGGCAUGGUCCAAAACAAGCCUUU